ensembl:lncRNA
CAUGUGUACUGUUUGAUAGAGGCGCAAGACCAGAAAGCAUGCUUGAGUUUGUUUCAUUCCUGUAUUGAACACAGAUCAUCCCGUCUUCAAUUUGAUUGAUUAUUUACUUUAAAAAAUAAUGUUGUAUUACAAAAAGUAGUUUGAAAUGUUUUGGCGAAGUUUACAGGUAACUUUUGAGAUAGUUUGUUGUCACUUUGCGCAAGUUGGAACCAGUGUUUUUCUGGAUCAAACGAGCCAAAUAAAUUGACAUUUUGGAUAUAUAUGGGCGGAAUUAAUAGAACAAAAGGACCAUUUGUGAUGUUUAUGGGACAUAUUGGAGUGCCAACAGAAGAAGCUCGUCAAAGGACCUUGACUGCAUCAACCAGGGAGGCAGAGAUGCACAGGAUCACGCUCUUUACCCACCUGGCCAAUUAGAAGAAGGAGAGAGAAGAGAGAGAAAUGUACAAGAUGGAGUCUGCCUUCAGGACCAGGCAGAGCCCCCAAAAGAUGGGAAAUUUACCUAAAC